GAUGAACGCUGGCGGCGUGCCUAAUACAUGCAAGUCGAGCGAACGGACGAGAAGCUUGCUUCUCUGAUGUUAGCGGCGGACGGGUGAGUAACACGUGGAUAACCUACCUAUAAGACUGGGAUAACUUCGGGAAACCGGAGCUAAUUCCGGAUAAUAUUUUGAACCGCAUGGUUCAAAAGUGAAAGACGGUCUUGCUGUCACUUAUAGAUGGAUCCGCGCUGCAUUAGCUAGUUGGUAAGGUAACGGCUUACCAAGGCAACGAUGCAUAGCCGACCUGAGAGGGUGAUCGGCCUCACUGGAACUGAGACACGGUCCAGACUCCUACGGGAGGCAGCAGUAGGGAAUCUUCCGCAAUGGGCGAAAGCCUGACGGAGCAACGCCGCGUGAGUGAUGAAGGUCUUCGGAUCGUAAAACUCUGUUAUUAGGGAAGAACAUAUGUGUAAGUAACUGUGCACAUCUUGACGGUACCUAAUCAGAAAGCCACGGCUAACUACGUG
rnacentral:rRNA from 1 species